ensembl:misc_RNA Metazoa_SRP Metazoan signal recognition particle RNA
GCUGGGCAUGGUGGUGCAUGCCUGUAAUCCUAGCUUCCUGGGAGGCUGAGGCACAAGAAUUGCUUGAACCUAGGAGGUGGAGUUUGCAGUGAGCUGAGAUAGCACCACUGCACUCCAGCCUGGGCGACACAGCAAGACUCUGUCUCCA